UUAGAUACCCUAUUAUACUAAUGAUUACCUAAAUUAUUAAUAGAUAAAUUCUUUAAAUUUGAAGAAUUUGGCGGUAGUUUAAUCUUGUUAGAGGAACCUGUUUUUAAAUCGAUAAACCACGUAGUAUCUUACUUAUUUUAUAAGUUUGUAUACCAUCAUUAUCAGAUAAUUUUUAAAAAAUUAAAUUAUUGGGAAUUAAAUUAUAUAAUUAAUAAAAAUUAGAUCAAGGUGCAGCUGAUAAAUAAGUUAAAAUGGGUUACAAUAAAAUUUAUUUAUUAUGAAGUAAUUAUAAUGAAAUCUAUUAUGAAGGAGGAUUUAAUUGUAAUAUAAAUUUUAAUAAGUUUAUAAGAUAUAAGUUCUAAACUAUGUACAUAUCGCCCGUCGCU
rnacentral:rRNA from 1 species